UACGUAGGCAGCAAGCGUUGUUCGGAAUUACUGGGCGUAAAGAGUGUGUAGGCGGUGUCGUAAGUUUGGCGUGAAAUCUCCCGGCUUAACUGGGAGGGUGCGCCGAAGACUGCGGUGCUUGAGGAUCGGAGAGGAAAGUGGAAUUUCUGGUGUAGCGGUGAAAUGCGUAGAUAUCAGAAGGACCACCUCUGGUGUAUGCGGCUUUCUGGACUAUUCCUGACGCUGAGACACGCCAUCGUGGGUAGCAAACAGG
rnacentral:rRNA from 1 species